AACGCACCUUGCGCCUCUUGGUAUUCCGAGAGGCAUGCCUGUUUGAGUGUCAUGAAAUAUCAAUUCACAAGAGUUUUCUUGUGGACUUGGACCUGGGCGUUGCCUCACAAGGCUCGCCUCAAAUGACUCAGUGGGAUCUCCUUGACCUACGCCUGACGUAAUAAGUUUCGUCUCGGCCGGUCCUGGAGCCCGCUCACAACACCCCAUACUUUACCAUUGACCUCAAAUCAGGUAGGGCUACCCGCUGAACUUAA
rnacentral:misc_RNA from 1 species